GACGUAGGAGGCGAGCGUUAUCCGGAAUUAUUGGGCGUAAAGAGCUCGUAGGCGGUUUGUCGCGUCUGCCGUGAAAGUCCGGGGCUCAACUCCGGAUCUGCGGUGGGUACGGGCAGACUAGAGUGAUGUAGGGGAGACUGGAAUUCCUGGUGUAGCGGUGAAAUGCGCAGAUAUCAGGAGGAACACCGAUGGCGAAGGCAGGUCUCUGGGCAUUAACUGACGCUGAGGAGCGAAAGCAUGGGGAGCGAACAGG
rnacentral:rRNA from 1 species